ensembl:lncRNA
GGGGUUGAGUGGAAAUUGAGCGAGUAGCAAGAAGUUGUUCAGACAUGAAGAGAAAAUUCAGAAAGGACGAGUGCACACUCUGAGUUAAUUGCAUAGCAACCAUAACAACGCAUGUAUUUUCUGAAAAAUCACAAUUUUGCAACUGAAAACUUAAAGAGGUAUAAAAUUAAAACGGUAGAAGAUCUGAAAAAGCUGAAUCACUCAGGAAUAGCCCAAUAAUCUGAGAACAUUUUAAAGUUUGAAUGGAGUUUCUAGGUGAAAGUAUGAGGAAGUAGUUAAGUUUCAAAAACAAGCAAGUUUUAGCAGAAUUGUGGAAGUUUCCCAUUCAUUUCAAUGGGACAAAUUAAAGGAAAAAAGUGUAAUAUUUUAAAAAAUAUAAUAGUAAUAAACACCAAAAGAUAUAGCAGUCGAAAGCAGAAGUAGCAGAACAGUUUAGAGUUUGAACGGUGAAAAUCUGCUGAAAACUGAGGGAGUAGUUAAGCGGCAAAAAAACGGAGCAACUAGAAUAAGUAGAAAAAUUUGCAUUUCCUGUGAAAAUGCUGUGUGGAUGCCUUAACGCUGAAGCUGUCUGCUGAAAAGAUGAAAAAGAUGAAAAGUUGCAAAAAGUUGUAUGGUGGUGAAAAAAACAAUGUUGCCUUGAGCAGGAUUCGAACCUGGUCCUCUUGGUCUCAAGGCAGCUACUCAGCUGACUGACCCAAACUCAUUCUCAAAAAGAAGAGGUGGAGAGACGGACAAUUCUGCUGAAAUGAGCAGAAGCUGCUGAGAAUUGUGCUGAUAAGAGGUGAAAAGGCUGCAAAUUUUGCAGAAAAGAGGUGAAUCAGCAGAAUUUGGGCUGAAAAUAG